rnacentral:rRNA from 1 species
UGGGGAAUAUUGGACAAUGGGGGAAACCCUGAUCCAGCGACGCCGCGUGUGUGAAGAAGGCCUGCGGGUUGUAAAGCACUUUUAGUGGGGAUGAAAUGUGCAGGGUUAAUACCUCUGCAUUUUGACCUAACCCACAGAAAAAGCACCGGCUAACUCUGUGCCAGCAGCCGCGGUAAUACAGAGGGUGCAAGCGUUAAUCGGAAUUACUGGGCGUAAAGCGUGCGUAGACGGUUACAUAAGUCGGGUGUGAAAGCCCCGGGCUCAACCUGGGAAUUGCAUUCGAGACUGCGUAGCUAGGGUACGGAAGAGGGAGGCGGAAUUUCAGGUGUAGCGGUGAAAUGCGUAGAUAUCUGAAGGAACACCAGUGGCGAAAGCGGCCUCCUGGUCCAGUACCGACGUUCAGGCACGAAAGCGUGGGGAGCAAACA